GAGAGAGUAGCAAAGCCUGGUCAAAUGCGCUGGACUCAAAAUCCAGUCCUUCGGGUUCGUGGGUUCAAAUCCCAUCUCUCUCA
rnacentral:tRNA from 1 species